UCGCGGAGGGUGGUGGCCGUGGCAGCCGCCCCCGCCGCCCCCGCUCCCCCGCCCCUGUGAGCGCCGCUCGGAGCGGCGCCUCCGUCCUUGUGGUGCCGCAGCCACGGACGGGGAGCCUCUUGUGUGUCGGGAAAAGCGCCGCCGAGGCAGCGGUGCUUCACAGUUUGAACCCAGUGCCGUCUGAGAGUCGGUGACUGCGUUUGGCCUGGCCUCAGAAAACCGGUCGCUCCCCAGCCGCUCCCUUGCAGCAGUGAGGGGUUCGACCUGGCCUCAGGAGGGGCUUUGGUGACCCCGGUGGAGCUGCACAGGGACGUCGCUGGUGGGGCAGGUGGGAACGAUGGGCUAGAUGAAAUGUUUCUUGAUCACUGCUAAGCUGCUCGUGUCCAACAUAGCCCAGUCUAUGCCAGUAGACUUUACUCAAGGGAGAACGUGCAACCUGAUACAAAUGGGAGAGGUUGGGAGUGGAGCCACUGAGGAUUCCCUCCAUCAGUGAUUUCUAACCACUCUGCCAUGAGUAUAACAUCAGUGUUUCAGAUAUUUAUGCUUUUGUCUUCGCUACAUUUGGAAUAAGAGCAGCAUCCCUUAACUCACCAAACAGUGUGAAGUUAUUACACCAGCUUAAACUCCACACAUCAUUGGAAACUCUUGCCAAGGUUCAUAUAAAUACGUGUUUCCCCAUCCAUGUCUGUGCUGUCCCAUUGGACCAGAGCUGCAAACACAGGAAGUGCGUUGGCCGCAGCAGCUCGAGUUCCACCGCAUACACAGCAGAGCUGCCUGAUGAGCCAGUAGCCCUCAAACACAAUGAAACAUUUUUCUCACAGUUCCUCCAGGAGAGGGAGGGCUUGGGAUAUGCCUUCUGGAUGUCAUCAUGGAACAGUGACAGUCUUGAGAGCAGCACUGAAAAAAAAUAUUACCCAGCAGGUUUUGAAGGCUGCAGUUUGGUGGCAUGCCAAGAAAUCAUUGCAUCUUAAAAUUAAGGUUCAUGACCCUUGUGACCACAGCCACUGGACACAUCACCAAAUUCAACAUCCUUCUCCCCUCAAAUAUCCUGCAGGAGCCCCCACCUCUACUCCUUCUGCCCCAUGCAAUGACCUCACAGUUGUGCCUAUGAUGGUGUGUAAGUGCAGCCCUGGAGCCAAAGCCAGGGCCCAUCACCUCAACAGCCCACUGCACCAGCUUUGGGGAUAUCUCUGGGGCCACCCUAGCAUACCACAGGGGAGCAACAGGAAAAAAACCCAGGUACUUCCUGCGAUCUUCAUCCAGAUGCUUUGCACAGACAGAUGGAUGCCUUGUACCAGGUACCUGGAGCAUACCUCACAAGCUCCAGCUCUCCACUGGAGCUUGCACAGUGACAUGGAGUGCUGCAAGACUAUGUAACCCAUUUAAAACAUAGAGCACCAGAGAAAUGCAGCCCCAAAGGCAAAGUGCUGGAGAAAGGAGUGAGAGGGACCAGCUGGAGUCAUAGCAAGGAGCUUAGAAAUUGGCCUGCUUUAUUUUCAUACAACUUCUAAAUGUUCAGUUUUUUUAAAGUCUGCAUCCUAAUUUCCCUGAAAAUGGAUGUGUGCAUAUUAUGUUAGCUUUUUAAAUGAUUAAAGGUUUUUUUACAUGCAAUAAUCUGCUGAUCUCUUUUGGUUAACUAGUUA